UGAGCCAUCUAUUCCUAUAGCUCUGAGUAGUGACGACUUCAUGAGCUUCUUCAAUGAUAAAAUUAUAACAAUUAGAGAUAAAAUUCAUCACUUUUUGCCGUCAACUUCGAACGGUUCACCUUUAAACGCAGAGUUGUUAGA